rnacentral:rRNA from 1 species
AACGAACGCUGGCGGCAGGCCUAACACAUGCAAGUCGAACGCCCGUAGCAAUACGGGAGUGGCAGACGGGUGAGUAACGCGUGGGAACGUGCCCUUCGGUUCGGAAUAACUCAGGGAAACUUGAGCUAAUACCGGAUACGUCCGUAAGGAGAAAGAUUUAUCGCCGAAGGAUCGGCCCGCGUCGGAUUAGCUAGUUGGUGAGGUAACGGCCCACAAGGCGACGAUCCGUAGCUGGUCUGAGAGGANGAUCAGCCACACUGGACUGAGACACGGCCCAGACUCCUACGGGAGGCAGCAGUGGGGAAUAUUGGACAAUGGGCGCAAGCCUGAUCCAGCGAUGCCGCGUGUGUGAA